rnacentral:rRNA from 1 species
CCCUACGGGGCGCAGCAGCUAAGAAUCUUCCGCAAUGGGGGAAACCCUGACGGAGCGACGCCGCGUGGACGAUGAAGGCCGUAAGGUUGUAAAGUCCUUUUGCAGGCGAAGAAUAAGGUAGGGAGUGGAAAGCCUUACCGAUGACGUUAGCCUGCGAAUAAGCCCCGGCCAAUUACGUGCCAGCAGCCGCGGUAAUACGUAUGGGGCAAGCGUUGUUCGGAGUUAUUGGGCGUAAAGGGCGUGUAGGCGGUAUGCCAUGUCUGGUGUGAAAACGCAGGGCUCAACCCUGCGGUUGCGCUGGAAACGGGCAUGCUUGAGUUCCGAGGGGGGAGCCGGAAUUCCAGGUGUAGGGGUGAAAUCUGUAGAGAUCUGGAAGAACACCGGUGGCGAAGGCGGGCUUCUACUCGAGGACUGACGCUGAGGCGCGAAAGCGUGGGGAGCAAACAGGAUUAGAUACCCCGGU